rnacentral:rRNA from 1 species
UGGGGGAUAUUGCACACUGGGCGAAAGCCUGAUGCAGCGACGCCGCGUGGGGGAUGAAGGCCUUCGGGUUGUAAACUUCUUUUGCCCUGAACAAGGCGCACCAUGGGGUGUGUUGAGUGUAGGGGUUGAUUAGCGCCGGCUAACUACGUGCCAGCAGCCGCGGUAAUACGUAGGGCGCGAGCGUUGUCCGGAAUUAUUGGGCGUAAAGGGCUUGUAGGUGGCUGGUUGCGUCUGUCGUGAAAGCUCAUGGCUUAACUGUGGGUUUGCGGUGGGUACGGGCUGGCUUGAGUGCAGUAGGGGAAGCUGGAAUUCCUGGUGUAGCGGUGGAAUGCGCAGAUAUCAUGAGGAAUACCGGUGGCGAAGGCGGGUCUCUGGGCUGUUACUGACACUGAGGAGCGAAAGCAUGGGGAGCGAACAGG